CUUCCCGACCAGCCCGCCUACCAACAGAAAUAUUGCUCAGAUUUUUCUUCUAAAACAGUUUUUUUCUUUUCCCUCACUUUGACAGACACCUCGGGCAGCCAAAGAGCGCAGAGCUGGGGGAGUGUGGAGAAGGAGAGCGGCGCUGGUCCCGCAGCUGGGGGAAGGAUGGCGCCAGAGCGCACACAGCCGGCUGAAGUAUGUCUUCAUGACUCUAGCGGCUCUCACAAAUCAAUCAAGAUUUCCACAACGCCUGGAACUUUAAAAUGAGGAUGAAUCUACGGGUAUCUAAAUGAGGGGUGAGGCAGUGACGGCAGGAGCGCACAGUAUGACAAACAAUGUUAAGGUGUGCAGCCGGUCUAACGGUGAAAUGAAGGGUUCGUGUGUGCUGUAGAGUUUCUUGGACGGAGAGCAGAGGAGAGUCUGCCGGGCAACAGCGGAGAAGAAAAACGGCAUCAAGCAGCACACCGGUGUCACGUCUCAUUUUGGAACGAUGCUCUUCAAAUACUUCAUCACCGGCCCUCUCAGUUUCACUGCAGACGCUGGCUGACCUCAUUGAGUGACCUCACCAAUCACAGAUCAAAGUUGUCGGGUUUCUGGCCGGUCAGGUUAAUCAGAGGACCACCCUGAAGAACCAAUCAGGUAAUUGAAUAAAUUCCCAGAGCUCUGCUGGAAUUAGAAGAAGCUGGACUUUGGUCAGAAGAGAGCUUUUAAGAAACCAGGGAACGUACAUCAGGGGCCCAGCAGUCGAUGGGACAAGACUUUGUGAGGCGACUGCCUUUCACGCCGGGGGCCGAUCAGGAACAGAUGGAAGGGGUGAUGACCCCCCCCUGGCAGGCGAGAGCAGCGGCGCAACUGCCACUCAAAAUCCCAGUAUAUGGAGGUGUGUGAGUGUAGAUUUGUGUGUCGGAGGACGAUGGGGGGUUGUGUUAUGGCUCUGAGGGUGCUACAGCAAACAGGGUCCCCAUAAUACGAGUGACUGACACUCCUCCAACAUCUGUUCCACGGAAAACUCUCUCUCUUUCUCACCGUCACUUCUCCACUAACAAUCUCCCUGACUCGGUCUCUGUUGUCUCCCUCUCUGUCUCUUCCCCACACACACACAAGAGUUAGAUGUCUUUUCAUUUUACAGUAAAGCUGAAAGGAAUGGAGAAAUUACAUUAGGGCAGAAUAAGAUACUCCAUUUAUGAUGUGGCUCUUUGCAGGGUUCUCUGCAUGGUUGACAGAGGAGGCUGCAGACAGCACUGAUGCCUUUACCCUUCUCUUCUCCUUCCUCCCUCGCUGUGUCGCCCUCUCCCACCCCCACUCCUCGCUCAACGAUCAGGUUUCUCUCUGUCCAUCAGUGGAGAGGGAGAGGAGAAGAAGGGGUGGAGGUGGGUUGUUCUGAUCAAUGGCAGGAAACUAGACGAUGGGAAGAGAAGACGUGAAACAGAUAGGCCCCACAACCUACCUACCAGGAUACCGCAAUCACCUCCCUCUCUCUCUCUCUCUGUCUCUUCUAUUUGCGUUCCUAUUUGUAAUUCCAACACACGCACACACACACACACACACACACACACACACAAAGUCAGCUCUGUUGAAACACAGUCCAGACACCACACAUACAAACACGCAUCUGACCGCAAACAAGCUGGAAAAAACACACAGGAGCAUCUAGCUUCAGACUCUGAUAUGCCAACACACACACACACACACACACACACACACACACACACAACACUGCAGAUUGCACAAAGCAUGUAUAGCUUUCCCUUUAGGCGGAAUGCAAACACAUUUACCUGCUCCUUAUGGGAGAAUGACUAAUAAUAUACAAAAUUAGGGUAUAUUUUUCUCCCAGCUCUAUGCAAAUCUCAAACAUAUUGCUUUCUGUCUCCAGGGGACCACACAUUCCCACACAUGAAUAUACUUAGAGGCGCAUGUGAGAGGCACACAAACACAUACACACACCUCAUCCAAGAUAUGUGUAAUUAGGGCAGACAGAGAGAAUAGCUGUCUCAUUUAAGUUUAUUAAUUUGUGGUAUUUUUAUUACCGGCAUUUAUUACCGGCAUUUUAUGGUGGACAACACCACUGCUCAUUCCUCAAGGCACUUAUUAGCAGAACGAGUACUUGCCGGUUAACUCUAUUCCUCUGGAUCAAAUUAUGCAGUAUUAGAUCCUGGUAGAGUUAUGAAACUAACACUGAUAAUACAAUGGAAAAAGGUGGAGACUUCAUGAUAUUAAAAGACAACACUAAACAUGAUCUUACUGCUUCAUGUGUCAAAGAUUUAUUUGAAAAUACUUCUCAACAGAUAUGAUGUGAGUGCUCGCAGUUGCACUUUUGACUGUGAAGCAUUACGUGCGUCAUUGUAUAUGUGUGUGUACGCCUACGUGUGUGCAUGGGUACAUGCAUAUAAUUGUGUGUUUCUGAUCUAUACGGUGCAGACUACUGAGCUUUCUUGCCACCCCAGCUAACUCUUAACUCCUGUCAAAACAUGGAGCUUUAAAUUGAAUUAAGACUCCAUGCUGCAGUCCCUGCUGAGCCCCCCAACCAAUGCCUUUAACACCCUACACUGCUCUGGAACACACACACACACACACAUGCAUUAACACACAUUCCCAGACCUUUUACAUGCAAGUACAUAUGUAUAAAGGUGAACUAACACUAACACCAAUCUCAAAAUGUACACAUACGCAUUCGCAUAAAUUAAUGACAACCAAUGAAACUAAGCACAGUUUUUAAAAUCAGCCAUAACACAGUGAACACACACACAUGCAGGUACUACCAGAGAAUAUUUUAAGUAGGAAGAGGCCAGCUCAGCCUUGACACUCUGUCGCUGUUAAUUCACUGCAGCUGAAACAGAGACAAAGAUACCUUUUCAGUGUCUAUAAUGCUGACCAACUACAGUCUAAGAAUUUUCACUGCCCUGUUUAAAGAGUUUUUAAAUUAUGUUUGGGUGGUUAGUUGAACUAAAAUGUGUGUACUGAUGGUCUAUCCAGCAGGUUCAGCAGUCUGUGCUGUCACUAGCAGGGUCAGCUAGAACUGAUAAGUGACAAGGUUGUUAUCUUCAUUUUCAAUUUACAUUUGUUUUGGCAUGAAGGAAUCUUCUUGUCAUAAGGAUAUUUGAAAUACACACAGGCUGUGUUACUACGUGAACCUGUAAUGGGUACAAGUUACUGAUUUUUACUAUAUAUUAUCAUUAUGUUGUCAUAUUAGCAUUGAUAUUUGCCACUGCUGUUAUAUGGCAAAUUCAUCUCCAAAAACCAUGUAUUCGGGAAUAACAGCAAAAAGUGUUACUGUCAAACAAAAGUCACGGUGCAUUUUAUUUUAAUUACAGAAUAUAUUCUGUAAGUGCUAGAUACAGAAAACCUACACACAGAUAUCAAAAGACCAUUGCGAAUAUUCAGUUACCUACAAUAAAUGAAAAACACCAAAAAUGUGAGUCCUGUGGUGUUUAAAAACAACAGAUAUAUUAGCCAAUAAUUCGGCACACACUAAGAUGGUUUGUCUGUGUCUGUGCUUUGUCCACUGCAGUUUAGUUUCUGUUGCAUAAGUGUCAAUGUUCUGUGUUUUAUCCAAAGAUUACUCUCCAAUUUGUUCUGUGUGUUGUUGGCAGUUCAAGUUGCUCUAUUAGAAAACAUGUUAAAGCAAUAUUGUCUAAGUGAGAGGGUCAUUAAUCAUCAGGUUGACACAAGCUCUGGACAUUGUUGAUGAGUAAUGAGUGUGUUGCUAACCUUUAAUACAUUUGGGCUGCUGUUAGUCAGGUGUAUAAUUAGUACACUGAUGAUGGUACAAAAAUAAUCUGUAUGCCAUCAAUUCUGGUGAUUAUGUGACAUUCCUCGACUGAGAGGCGCUAUAAAAGGCAGGAGUUUUGUUUCAUUUUUAAAGUUUGAAUAUUGUCUGCUCCCACAUGUUCAGAGCUUUGUAAUUGCAACCAGGAAAAUAUUAAAUCAUUCAUUGAUA